rnacentral:rRNA from 1 species
UACGUAGGGUGCAGGCGUUAAUCGGAAUUACUGGGCGUAAAGCGUGCGCAGGCGGUUUGCUAAGUCAGGUGUGAAAUCCCCGGGCUUAACCUGGGAACUGCGCUUGUAACUGGCAAGCUGGAGUGUGGCAGAGGGGGGUGGAAUUCCACGUGUAGCAGUGAAAUGCGUAGAUAUGCGGAGGAACACCGAUGGCGAAGGCAAUCCCCUGGACCUGUACUGACGCUCAUGCACGAAAGCGUGGGGAGCAAACAGG